GGCCGGCCGCAUUGAAAUCAGAGUCCAGGGGGGUCACUCAGGGGUGAGGGGUCAGCCAUCUGCCUUCGAAAGCACCCUCCCUUCUCCUUUGAGAAAAGGGCUGAUUCCAGGGGAGAGGGGACAGAGAAGAUGCAAGAAGAGCCUGGAACAUCUUUUUCUGGGUCAGAAGAUGUGAAAGAACCAAUAUGGGAGGUGCAAGAGGUCAUCUUGAAACCGUGAGAGAAGCUGUUCUGAGGAUGAAUUCCACAUCCAGAGGAAAGCAGAGCGGCGGGAAUCACAGAGAAACCAAACCAUUGUCCCCGCUGUCUUCACAGACUUCUGGAUCAAACCAUGCCUGAAGUCGAACCCUCUGAAACCUUAUUUUUAACUUUUUAAAUGAAAUGCAUUUAUAAUGAGAAGUGUACAAGUUAUAAAGGAAAAUCUAGAAACUGAAUACAUUGUAUAACCAGCACCCAAAUCCAAUAAAUGAAUGUCAUCAGCA